CGCAAACGUUCCCUGGUGCUAUCUUGCAGUUUCAGAAACCACUUGCGCCACAAACCAGGAAAUACCUGGUUUAAAGUCAGUGGCAUGAUUGAUGAGUAUUUGAUCGUGAGAAAACAUUGUUUGACCGCGAGUGAGUGUUAAAAAUAAUGAAUGAAUGCGGACUCGCGUGUGUGUAUGUGUAACACAUGCACACAUACGCGCGUGUGUGCGUCCAUCUGUUUAAACACACGCAAACUAAACACGUAACGCAUAAUACAGUCCAUGGCAAUGUAUAUUAACGGGGGGACACAUGCAUAUUAGGAACACAAGUCGAUAA